rnacentral:SRP_RNA from 2 species
GCCGAGCUGGGUAACGCCAGCUUAUGACCUGUGUGGGGGCAUCAAGGUGAUUGAACAAGGCUAUGGCUUGCUAAGCUGGUCUGGAGGUUGCAACUUGCUGGCUUGCCCAAUCCAAGUUGAGAGUUGAGCCAUGGGUCCUUUGCGAAGGCAUGGGUUUCCUGGUUACUGGACAGGAGGGCACCGCGUGAGGCUGGUUUCACAGAGCAGCGACAACCUCCGGUUCUUGACAGUGGAGGGAUAACAGGCUGCUGCACCUCCUAUCCCAAAUGAGCUUGGUGAGCCUCGUCCUCUUGAACAAUCAUUUUU